CAGAGCUUCAUUGUCGAUGGGCCCUCUUCUGCCCUCUUCCUCAUCCUCUUCAUCCCCUCUGUGCACAACACACGCACGCGCCGAGACACCAGACCGUCUUCCCCCGUUGGUUCAUCGUACAGUUGAACAGGUUUAUGUGGGCAUCGUCGGGAUCAUCGGCCCCGGCGGCACCGGAGGUGAGCGCCCGCACGUACGCGGCCGCGUCGCCAUCGCCAUCGCUGUCCACAUCCUCUUCAGCGAUCGUGGCGUCCCCGCAGUGGCGGCUGAUCUCGACCAUCUCGCAGAAGGCUUCUCGCCAACUCGCCAAGUACCCAGCGCAGUACAUCUACGCCUCUGCAGCGGCGGCGCUCGCGCUCACCGUCACCACCACUCUUCUAGCGCGUCACCUCGUACACCGCGGCGAGGACCGCGUGAGGGAUGGGCGCCGGAUCUCUGCCGCAUCGGUGCCGCCACAUGGCGCGGCGACCGGCAGCGGCUGUGCGGCAGACAAGUUAGGGUGUGUGGAGGGGACGAAGACUGCCCCAGCGCGGCGUGGGGCUGUGGACGGUGACGACGACAUCGAGUUUGCCAACCCGGCCGAGAGCGCCUUCUUCUCCUACGUGCGCCGAGCCAAAAAGCAAAAGGAGGCGCCCCUCUUGGCCGCACUCACCUACCUCGAGACAGCUGUCGCAGAGCUGGUGGAGGUGCGGCGGAGGCAUGCUCAUGACGACAGCUUCGUUGGGGAUGAGAGCUGUGAGGGCGGUGAAGGGUGCAAUCAUAAUUCGAGCGAUGCCCAAGUCAGCAACAUCGAUAGUGGCGGAAACCGCAAUGAUGUCGGUGACAGUGGCGCCGUGGCUGAGGCGCAGGCAAAGGUGCACCGUCUCGCCGUUGCCGCGGAUGAGCUCCUAACGCAGUGGAUCUGCAGCCUGGAUGGCGUGCCGGUGCGCCAGAGUGAAGUGCUCAAGCAGCGACGAAAAGCGCUGGUACAGGAGGCAGCUGCCCUGACGCGGCGUAUCUCGCCGCAUCUUCCGGAUAUCAGGAUGUAGGCCCCGCUCUCCUGUUUUCUCUCGGCUCGACACCCUUGCGUGCUGCCAGCGAGGGCGGGAAGGGCAUCAGGCACUGCGCUGAGCCACCAAGCCGUGCUAAAGUAGAUACCGCCAACAUGUGUGCAUGACCAGAAUGUGAGAGACAGUGACGGGAGCGGGUGCAGGAGGAUUGCGUCGCUGGUGUGAAUGCUGCCUGCACGCGCAUGUGUACGCGUCCGUGUAGCGUUGGCGGGCAGGAGAGAUGCUUUGCGUGAGGUGGCCAAGCCACCGGACGCAGAGAGAUACGCUGCGCGCCGCAACGCGGAACACACACCCGCAAACUUCGACACGCACAGGUGUGCGUUUGGCGCUGGCUGCAUAUCGACACGUUUUCGCUUUUCAGUCACUGCCGAGUAGGCCGAGACACCUUGCAUGCGAAAGGAAGCGGCGUGCCGUGAUGGCGGUGGCUCUUUUCCUUUCGAUCGCUCACCCCCCCCUCCCCACCCUCGAUCCUCCCCUUCUCACCACCACCACAUGUGGCCACCCAAGACGUGUGCUCAAGCAACAAACAUGACCCUCGGUGCAUGGCCGACAGCUGGAGGCUGGGAUCGCGGGAGUGGGGAUGGGGAGAUUGCGAGGAGGAAAGAAUGCGAGAGAGGCACACAGAUCAGAGGAGCGCAUGAGGACGUAUGUCCCCCUCUCCCCCGUGCCGCUGCCGCCUUUUACUGCGUUGACCGGCCCCUUUUCAUGUUCGUCGCGCUGCGGGUACGGAUGUGAUCACGCAGAUGCGGCGACGUUGGCAUGACACAGGCACAUGCACACACAUACACACACACACCUGCCUGUUCUCCUCCUUCUCCCCCUCUUUUCUUCCCUCGACGUCUUCCAG
rnacentral:misc_RNA from 1 species